GACCCGUGAUCCGGGUUGCGGACAGUGUCUGGUGGGUAGUUUGACUGGGGCGGUCUCCUCCUAAAGAGUAACGGAGGAGCACGAAGGUUGGCUAAUCCUGGUCGGACAUCAGGAGGUUAGUGCAAUGGCAUAAGCCAGCUUGACUGCGAGCGUGACGGCGCGAGCAGGUGCGAAAGCAGGUCAUAGUGAUCCGGUGGUUCUGAAUGGAAGGGCCAUCGCUCAACGGAUAAAAGGUACUCCGGGGAUAACAGGCUGAUACCGCCCAAGAGUUCAUAUCGACGGCGGUGUUUGGCACCUCGAUGUCGGCUCAUCACAUCCUGGGGCUGAAGUAGGUCCCAAGGGUAUGGCUGUUCGCCAUUUAAAGUGGUACGCGAGCUGGGUUUAGAACGUCGUGAGACAGUUCGGUCCCUAUCUGCCGUGGGCGCUGGAGAACUGAGGGGGGCUGCUCCUAGUACGAGAGGACCGGAGUGGACGCAUCACUGGUGUUCGGGUUGUCAUGCCAAUGGCACUGCCCGGUAGCUAAAUGCGGAAGAGAUAAGUGCUGAAAGCAUCUAAGCACGAAACUUGCCCCGAGAUGAGUUCUCCCUGACUCCUUGAGAGUCCUGAAGGAACGUUGAAGACGACGACGUUGAUAGGCCGGGUGUGUAAGCGCAGCGAUGCGUUGAGCUAACCGGUACUAAUGAACCGUGAGG
rnacentral:rRNA from 1 species